rnacentral:rRNA from 1 species
CCAACACCUCUUUUUUCACUAAAAAUUUUUAAAGAUGCACAUGUGUGUGCAGUAUGAACAAAAAUUCUAGCUUUAUCGGUGGAUCACUCGGCUCGUAGGUCGAUGAAGAACGCAGCCAACUGCGAUAAGUAGUGUGAACUGCAGAAACCUUGA